rnacentral:misc_RNA from 1 species
GAAAUGCGAUACGUAAUACGAAUUGCAGAUUCAGUGAAUCAUCGAAUCUUUGAACGCAUAUUGCGCCCCCCGGCACUCCGGGGGGCAUGUCCGACCGAGCGCCACUGCCCGCGCUCGGGAGCCCUUUUCCCCACCUUCACCGGGGGGGUUUUGGGCUCCCGGUGUUGGGGCGCGCGCCGCCCUCGAGCGGUGCCGCCCCCAAAUGCAGAGGCGGACCCGUCCCCGUGUACCCUCCAGGCGCAGUCACAAGUUGCCGUCUCGCGAGGCGCGGAAGGGGCCGCCGGCGAACCUAGCCAAACCGUUUCGGGGAACCCCCGAACAUACAAAGCACUGGUUGGCCUCGGGUCGGACAAGAUUACCCGCUGAACUUAA